UNUUUCAGGUUCACUUAGCUGUUUCUACAGG
rnacentral:piRNA from 1 species